UACUGAGUGUGGGCUCCGGCCCUACCUCCAACCCCAUGUCGAAACGACUCUGUUGCCUCGGGGGCGACCCGGCCUUCGGGCGUCGGGGCCCCCGGCGGACACCUUCAUAACUCUUGCAUCUCUUGCGUCUGAGUGAUACAUAUAAUCAAUCAAAACUUUCAACAACGGAUCUCUUGGUUCUGGCAUCGAUGAAGAACGCAGCGAAAUGCGAUAAGUAAUGUGAAUUGCAGAAUUCAGUGAAUCAUCGAAUCUUUGAACGCACAUUGCGCCCCCUGGCAUUCCGGGGGGCAUGCCUGUUCGAGCGUCAUUACACCACUCAAGCCUGGCUUGGUAUUGAGCGCCGCGGCCUGCCCGCGCGCUCCAAUGUCUCCGGCUGAGCCGUCCGUCUCUAAGCGUUGUGAAUAGCGAUCGCUUGCGAGGCCCGGGCGCUUCGACUCCGUUAAACCCCCCAUUUUAUGGUUGACCUCGGAUCAGGUAGGGAUACCC
rnacentral:rRNA from 1 species